CUCUUUGAGCGUUAACUAUAUCCAUCUACACCUGUGAACUGUUGAUUGACUUCGGUCAAUUACUUUUACAAACAUUGUGUAAUGAACGUCAUGUUAUUAUAACAAAAAUAACUUUCAACAACGGAUCUCUUGGCUCUCGCAUCGAUGAAGAACGCAGCCAGGAUCAUUAGUGAAUUGCUCUUUGAGCGUUAACUAUAUCCAUCUACACUGUGAACUGUUGAUUGACUUCGUCAUUACUUUUAAAACAUUGUGUAAUGAACGUCAUGUUAUUAUAACAAAAAUAACUUUCAAACGGAUCUCUUGGCUCUCCAUCCAUAA
rnacentral:misc_RNA from 1 species